GGUGAACGUUGGCGGCGCGUCUAAUACAUGCAAGUCGAGCGGGGCUUCGAGCCGAGCGGCGGACGGCUGAGUAACACGUUGGUAGCUACCCCGUACUCAGGGAUAACACUGAGAAAUCAGUGCUAAUACCGGAUGGUCCCGAAAGGGUAAAGAUUUAUCGGUACGGGAGGUGCCUGCGGCCUAUCAGCUAGUUGGUGAGGUAAUGGCUCACCAAGGCUAUGACGGGUAACUGGUCUGAGAGGACGACCAGUCAGAGGGAAACUGAGACACGGUUCCCACUCCUACGGGAGGCAGCAGUAAAGAAUCUUCCGCAAUGGACGCAAGUCUGACGGAGCGACGCCGCGUGCAGGAUGAAGGCC
rnacentral:rRNA from 1 species